rnacentral:tRNA from 1 species
UCCCUGGUGGCUCAGAAGGUAAAGCAUCUGCCUGCAGUGCAGGAGACCCGGGUUUGAUCCCUGGGUUGGGAA